GACGAGCCACACGAACGUUAUUCGGAAUUACUGGGCUUAAAGGGUGCGUAGGCGGUGCGGAAAGUUGGGUGUGAAAUCCCUCGGCUCAACCGAGGAACUGCGCCCAAAACUACCGUACUUGAGGAAGAUAGAGGUGAGCGGAACUCACGGUGGAGCGGUGAAAUGCGUUGAUAUCAUCAGGAACACCGGAGGCGAAGGCGGCUCACUGGGGAUUUUCUGACGCUGAGGAACGAAAGCCAGGGGAGCGAACGGG
rnacentral:rRNA from 1 species